rnacentral:rRNA from 1 species
UGGGGAAUAUUGCACAAUGGGCGAAAGCCUGAUGCAGCGACGCCGCGUGAGUGAAGAAGUAUUUCGGUAUGUAAAGCUCUAUCAGCAGGGAAGAUAAUGACGGUACCAUAAGAAAAAGCCCCGGCUAACUACGUGCCAGCAGCCGCGGUAAUACGUAGGGGGCUAGCGUUGUCCGGAAUCACUGGGCGUAAAGGGUUCGCAGGCGGAAAUGCAAGUCAGGUGUAAAAGGCAGUAGCUUAACUACUGUAAGCAUUUGAAACUGCAUAUCUUGAGAAGAGUAGAGGUAAGUGGAAUUUUUAGUGUAGCGGUGAAAUGCGUAGAUAUUAAAAAGAAUACCGGUGGCGAAGGCGACUUACUGGGCUCAUUCUGACGCUGAGGAACGAAAGCGUGGGUAGCAAACAGG